rnacentral:lncRNA from 1 species
GAAAUGAAUUUAAAAUGAAGGGUUUUAUUUAAUCGGGGUCCGGGUCGAGUCAUCAGAAACCCUAACUUGGACCCACGAGACCCCAUCGACGGCCUGUGGGUCGACCUACGGCCCAUCGAUGGGGUUGUGGUUCACUCCAACACUUAGAAAAAAUCAGAAAUCAUAAAUGGGAUCUACGGAUGCCAUCCACGGUCCGUGGGUGGACCAACGGACCGUUGAUGAGACCCGUAG